UACGUAGGCAGCGAGCGUUGUUCGGAAUUACUGGGCGUAAAGAGUGUGUAGGCGGUGCUCUAAGUUCGGUGUGAAAUCUCCCGGCUUAACUGGGAGGGUGCGCCGGAAACUGGAGUGCUCGAGCGUGGGAGAAGAAAGCGGAAUUCCUGGUGUAGCGGUGAAAUGCGUAGAUAUCAGGAGGAACACCUGCGGUGUAGACGGCUUUCUGGACCAUUGCUGACGCUGAGACACGAAAGCGUGGGUAGCAAACAGG
rnacentral:rRNA from 1 species